rnacentral:snRNA from 2 species
AGCCACGCAGUGAGCACAAAGCGAACUAUUCUUUCGCCUUUUACUAAAGAAUACCGUGUGCACACUGCAAUCAGUGGCAUACGCCUAUUUUUGGAGGGAUUCUCUUCUUUAGAGGAC